rnacentral:rRNA from 1 species
UAGGACUAAGACAUGCUAGUCGAGCGCUCUUUAGCUACGAUAAGAGCGCGGCGCACAGCUCAGUAACACGUGGCUAACCUGCCCUUGGGACAGAGACACCCCCGGGAAACUGGGGCUAAUCCCUGAUAGGCGAAGAACCCUGGAAUGAGUCUUCACCCAAAAGACGCCUAGGCCACGCUUCUAGGCGCCGCCCAAGGAUGGGGCCGCGACCGAUCAGGUUGUUGGUGAGGUAACGGCCUACCAAGCCUUUUACCGGUACGGGCCGUGAGAGCGGGAGCCCGGAGAUGGGCACUGAGACAAGGGCCCAGGUCCUACGGGGCGCAGCAGUCGCGCAAACUUUGCAAUACACGAAAGUGUGACAGGGCUAUCCCGAGUGCCGUCCGCUGAGGGUGGCUUUUACCCAGUCUAGAAAGCUGGGAGAAUAAGGAGAGGGCAAGUCUGGUGUCAGCCGCCGCGGUAAUACCAGCUCUCCGAGUGGUGUGGAUGUUUAUUGGGCCUAAAGCAUCCGUAGCUUGCUGAACAAGUCCCCUGUUAAACCCAACGAAUCAAUCGUUGGAUUGCGGGGGAUACUGCUCGGCUAGGGGACGAGAGAGGCCGACGGUAUUUUCGGGGUAGGGGUGAAAUCCUAUAAUCCCGAGAGG